GCUCCAACCUCGUAGCAGCUUCGCUGCUCAGCAUUGCUCUCAAUUUUUUUUUAGAUAAAAAACAGAUCUACACAGGCGUUGCAUGGCUGUCGUCAGUCCGUGGUGCUAUGCCGUUCUUGCACUCUUUUUGUGCUUCUUACGGACACCUCCCCUACCAGAAUUCCAAAAAUAUAUUCUUUUUAGAUUCUAUUUUUGUUUCUGGAGAGUAAAACUCUCGUUAGUUUUACCUUAAUCUGGGUCCACGUCUAGUCAUCAUGGCCCACAUGUAUUGGGAUACACCUGUGUUACAAUGGAAUGUACAGUUUGUUGCAAAGGUUAGAAUAAUAAUUCCUUAGCCAAUCAAGAAAACAUUCCUUUCUUCGGAUCGUACCCUGCAACUCGGGUACGUGAAGCCGGAAUCAUUAGUAAUCGUGGAUUAGCCUGCCACGGUGAAAUUUAGAAGUUUCUCUAGAGUACACACCGCCUGUCACGUUGGAAAAAUUGCAUGGACUAGAAAAAGUCAGAAAUUCUUCUUUAUUCUGUACGGAACAGUGCUUUAUUGUACUUGUUUUCAUUAUGAAGAAUAAAAAUAUGGAUGCACUAGCAUUUAUAUGGGUUUUAGGUUUUGAAAGUUUGUGCGGUGAUUGCGACGAAGUCAUAACAAGGUUGUUCUACGGGAACGUGGAGCAGAAAAGACAUUCCAGAACUCCAAAGAGUUCUAUUUAUUAUUUAUUUUACUUUUUUUUUUUAAGCAUGUAAACAUUCUAAAUUUAACGAAAAAACCUGACUGGGGUGGUAGUCAGGGACCACGAAGCCCUGGGCUCUAAGCAAAGCCCUCUAUUUAUAACAU
rnacentral:rRNA from 1 species